GAGCUCCGGUCAGCUGACACAUCCCGGCCAAUCUCCAGCAGACCCUCCCACGUCCUGGACAGCAUCCAUGUUGAAGGCAGCUUCAACAUGGAUGCUGUCCAGGAGGUGGGAGGGUCUGGGAGGGAGGGUCUGCUGGAGAUUGGCCGGGAUGUGUCAGCUGCUG